CCUACGGGAGGCAGCAGUGGGGAAUUUUGGACAAUGGGCGCAAGCCUGAUCCAGCAAUGCCGCGUGAGUGAAGAAGGCCUUCGGGUUGUAAAGCUCUUUUGUCAGGGAAGAAAAGGGUGCGGCUAAUAUCUGCGCCUCAUGACGGUACCUGAAGAAUAAGCACCGGCUAACUACGUGCCAGCAGCCGCGGUAAUACGUAGGGUGCAAGCGUUAAUCGGAAUUACUGGGCGUAAAGCGUGCGCAGGCGGUUUUGUAAGACUGUCGUGAAAUCCCCGGGCUCAACCUGGGAAUGGCGAUGGUGACUGCAAGGCUAGAGUUUGGCAGAGGGGGGUUAGAAUUCCACGUGUAGCAGUGAAAUGCGUAGAUAUGUGGAGGAACACCGAUGGCGAAGGCAGCCCCCUGGGUCAAAACUGACGCUCAUGCACGAAAGCGUGGGGAGCAAACAGGAUUAGAUACCCUGGUAGUCCACGCCCUAAACGAUGUCUACUAGUUGUCGGGUCUUAAUUGACUUGGUAACGCAGCUAACGCGUGAAGUAGACCGCCUGGGGAAUCGGUCGCAAGNUUAAACGCAAAUGAAUU
rnacentral:rRNA from 1 species